GUCCCUGAGCGCAAUGGAUAGCGCCUUGGACUUCUAAUUCAAAGGUCGUGGGUUCGAAUUCUACCUGGGAUG